AUUGAACGCUGGCGGCAGGCCUAACACAUGCAAGUCGAACGAGUGGCGGACGGGUGAGUAAUGCCUGGGAAACUGCCUGAUGGAGGGGGAUCACUACUGGAAACGGUAGCUAAUACCGCAUACCAUCAGAUGUUCCCAGAUGGGAUUAGCUUGUGGGUGGGGUAAUGGCUCACCCAGGCGACGAUCCCUAGCUGGUCUGAGAGGAUGACCAGUCAUGCGGGAACUGAUACACUGUCCAGACUCCUACGGAGGGCAGCAGUGGGGAAUAUUGCACAAUGGGCGCAAGCCUGAUGCAGCCAUGCCGCGUGUGUGAAGAAGUUCUUCGGGUUGUAAAGUACUUUCAGCGGGGAGGCGUUACCCGCAGAAGAAGCACCGGCUAACUCCGUGCCAGCAGCCGCGGUAAUUC
rnacentral:rRNA from 1 species